ACUUUUGGAUGAUCUGGGGCAGGCUGGCUUGAGGCUGAGGCGGUGGCGGUGGCGGCAGAGGCUGCAUCCCUUGCUGGCCCUGGGGCACGGAGGGCCCCUGAACACCGGGCAUAACGCAGGCAUCUCUGUCGGGUUGCUCCGGACCGCUGGGAUCCGCGUCCUGGCUCAUGGCUACUGCCAGCACCAUGCGCGGCGACACCGGCCCGGGCUCGCAGCGAAAGAGCGCGCGGGAGGGGCGGUCCCGGAACACAAGCGCUCACUGGCCGGGGUCCCUGUGCCCAGUCCCCUUGUCCUUCUCGGUGGCGUGGGGAGGAGACGAGAAGGGUGGGGAGGAGACAGUCCCCGCGGCGCCGCCUCCUCCACCUCCCGGCGCUCAAGCUGGAGAGGCUGCGGAGGGGGCGGGGGACAGGGACAGGAACAGGGGGCGUCCCCGGGGCCACGGAAGCCGCGAGACGCCCAGGAGCUGCUGCGCGCGGGGUGACCGGGACAACUGUGCCUGUCCACCCGAGGCACAAG
rnacentral:lncRNA from 1 species